rnacentral:rRNA from 1 species
CUGCGGCUUAUCAGGUUGUAGUGAGGGUAACGUCCUCACUAGCCUAUGACGGGUACGGGCCCUGAGAGGGGAAGCCCGGAGAUGGACUCUGAGACACGAGUCCAGGCCCUACGGGGCGCAGCAGGCGCGAAAACUCCGCAAUGCUCGAAAGAGUGACGGGGGGAUUCCAAGUGCCUACGCUCAGCGUAGGCUGUUCAGAUGCCUAAAAAGCAUCUGGAGUAAGGGCUGGGUAAGACGGGUGCCAUCUGUGGCAGCAGCCGAAAAUUUGGCUUGCUACUGCAAGGCAUAAGCCGCCGCGGUAAUACCCGCAGCUCGAGUGGUAGUCGAUUUUAUUGGGCCUAAAGCGUCCGUAUCCGGUCUGGUAAAUGCUUGGGUAAAUCGUCUGGCUUAACCAGACGAAUUCCGGGUAGACUAUCAGACUUGGGACCGGUUGAGGAAGAGGGUACUUCAGGGGUAGGAGUGAAAUCCUGUAAUCCUUGAAGGACCACCAGUGGCGAAGGCGCUCUUCUAGGACGGGUCCGACGGUGAGGGACGAAAGCCAGGGGAGCAAACCGGAUUAGAUACCCGGGUAGUCCUGGCCGUAAACGAUGUGGGCUUGGCAUUGGGGGUUCUACGUGAGCGCCCAGUGUCGUAGCGAAGGCGU